AGAGGGCGACACAGAAUCCGAAGGAGGCUCCAGGCUUCGAGCCAUCAGCACAGAGCCCGACGCGGGGCUCGAACUCACGGACCGCGAGAUCAUGCCCUGAGCCGAAGUCGGACGCUUAACAUGACAUUCUCGUGACUCAUUCAUUUUAUAACUAGAUGUUUGUACCUCUUGAUCGUUUUCAUCCAUUCGGCCUCCUACCCGGCCCGCGGCCAGCCACCGCCAAGCUGUUCUCCAUCAUCUGUGCGUUUUGUUUGGUUUUAUUUGUUUGUCCUGUUUUUUAGAUUACACACGUGAGUGAAAUCAUCCAGUGUUUGUCUUUCUCUGUCUGACUUACGUCACUUCGUGUGAUGCCUUCAAGGUCCAUCUGCGCUGUCGGAAAUGGCCAGAUUUCCUUCUGGGUAAUGGCCGAGCAGUAUUACUCUGUAUAUAUUCACCGCGUAUUCUCUACCCACAUAUCCAUCCGUGGACACUGAGGCUGUUUCCGUAUCUUGGCUGUUGCGAAUAACGCUGCAGUGGGCAUGAGAGUGCAGAUGUCUUCCGCAAGUAGUGUUUGUGUUUUCUUUGGGUCAAUAUCCAAGAACGGAAUUGCAGGAUCGGGUGGCAGGUCUGGUUUUAAUAUUUUGAGGAAACCUCCACACCGUUUUCCACGGUGGCUGUGCCAGUGUGCGUUCCCCCCAGCAGGGCACAAGGGUCCCCUUUCCUCCACGUCCUGGCCCACACCUGCUGGCUCUUGUCUUUUUGAUUCUAGCCACUCUGACAGGUGUGAAGUGGUAUCUCCUGGUGGUUUUGAUUUGCAUUUCCCUGGUGAUGGGUGGUGAUGAGCCUCUUUUCGUGGGCCUGUUGCCCACCUGUUUUCUUUGGGAAAAAAAAGUUCCGAUCCUCUGCCCAUUUUAAAAUUGGAUUGUUUGUUGUUUUGAUAUUGAGUUGUAUGAAUUCUUAUCUUUCUUUGCUUUGGAUAGUAAUCCUUUACUGGGUAUAUGGUUUAUAAAUAGCUUCCUCCAUUCCGUAGGCUGCCUUUUCGUUUUGUUAAUUUUUUUUUCUUCUUUUUUUUUUUUUACAUUUAUUCAUUUUUGAGAGACAGAGAGAGACAGAGCACAAGCGGGGAAGGAGCAGAGAGAGAGAGGGAGACACAGAAUCCGAAGCAGGCUCCAGGCUCUGAGCUGUCAGCACAGAGCCCGAUGUGGGGCUCGAACCCACGGACCGCGAGAUCAUGACCCGAGCCGGAGUCGGACGCUCAACCAACUGAGCCACCCAGGCGCCCCAAUUUUUUUUUUCUAUGCAGAAGACUUAUAGUUAGAUGUGGUCCCAUCUGUUUGUUUUUGCUUUUGUUCACCUCGCCUUUGGGGUCGGCUCCAGGAAAAAAUCAUCAUCCAGAGCUAUGUCAAGGAGUUCACCACCUGUUUUCUUCUAGGAGUUUUAUGGUUUCAGGUCUUAUAGUUAAGUCUUGAAUACAUUUGGAGUUAAUUUUUGUGCAUGGUGUAAGAAAGCGGUCCAGUUUCACUCUUUUGCAUGUGGCUGUCCAGUUUUCCCAGCACUGUUUAUUGAAGAGACUGUCCUUUACCCACUGUAAGUUCUUGCCUCCUUUUGUCGCAAAUUAACUGACCUUGUAUGCGUGGGUGUUUUUCUGGGUUCUCCGUUCUGCUCUAUUGAUACUGCUGUCUGUCUCGAUGCCAAGACCACAGUCCUGAUUACUGUAGCUUUGUAGCAUAAUUUCAAAUCAGGGAGUUUGAUGCCUGUGGCUUUGAUCUCAAGAUUGCUUUGGCUGUUUGUGAUCUUCCGCGGUUCCAUACAAAUGUUAGGGUUGUUUGUUCUAUUUCUGCGAAAAAUGCCAUUGGAGUUUUGACAGGCAUUGCAUUGAAUCUGUAGGUUGCUUUGGGUAGUCUAGACAUUUUAACAACAUUAAUUCUUCCAACCUGUGAGCAUGGAAUAUCUUUCUGUUUAUUUGUGUCUUCUUCCAUUUCUUUCAUCAAUAUCUUUCAGUUUUCAGUGUACCGGCCUUUCAUCUCUUUGAUUAUAUUUAUUCCUAGGUAUUUUAUUCUUUUUUUUUUUAACGUUUAUGUACUAUUAAGAGACAGAGAGAGACAGAGCAUGAGCGGGGGAGGGGCAGAGAGAGAAGGAGACGCAGAAUCCGAAGCAGAGUCCAGGCUCUGAGCUGUCAGCACAGAGCCCGACGUGGGGCUCGAACCCAUGGACUGUGAGAUCAUGACCUGAGCCAAAGUCAGACGCUUAACCAACUGAGCCACCCAGGCACCCUGGGGCCACAGCAAUGUGCUCAAGCUGACAGCACUGUCCUCAACAGCAGCCCUACACAGUAUUGAGUGCCACAUUCUCCAAAGCAGGUCUGUGACCUAAGGCUGAGGCCAGCUCGGCAAAGGCAGCCCUUUUCUAAGCAUCUAACCUGAGUCUGGUGGUUUACUUUCCCGACAUGAUGGCAGAAGGCAAAGCCCCGUGCUUUAAGCAGUUCAGAACGCUGAUGGGAACAGGGGCUCUGGAUCCAGACCGCCUGGGGUCAGGAUCCGGAUUUUCUCCCCAGGUAACUGUGGGACCCUGGGCCUUUCACUGAAGCUUUCUGAAUUCAGUUUCCUUAUCCAUCACGUGGGGUAGAGCUCCUACUUACUUUACAGGGCUGAUGGCAGAAUGACAUGAAAUAAUACGUACCCAAGGCUGAGCCCAAUGCUGGCAAAUGUAGAUGCUUAAUGCAUAUCAACUCUUGUUCUCUUUACGGAGGGUGCUUGGUAAAUACUUUCGGAACCCCUGCAUUUGGUACGCGUUGUGAAGGAUUCAGCCUUCGGGGUGGGGCACAUGCUAUGGGAUCCAGACCCGCCCUGGAAAGCAGUGCAAGGAAGGUUUUGGGCUGUGGGACACCUGCAGCUAGACACGGUCAGUUAUGAUCCUGCUGUGUUCCUGCUGAAAACCUUCUCUGAUUCCUCGUCGCAGGAGAGCAGCCUUCAAAUGCUGUAUCCCAGGCACGUGGGGCUCGUCCCUGACUCACCACCAACCUUUCCACUCUACACCCACCUGCAUCCUAUAGUAAUUCCGGAUGCCAGCCCAUCGUCAACUCACCAGGCCUUGCUCGUGCAGUGUCCUCUUCCCACGUCUGCCUCGCUCACGUACGCAUUGUAGUUUCGUGGUUGUGUUUUGAAAAGGAAUCCUCAUCUUUUGAGAGCCUCAAACCAGCCUGUUUGCAGAUGAAAUGAUCCGAUGUCGGGGAUUUGCUUCAAAGUCAUGGCAGUCUUUAAGAGGACAAUGAUUCCCCUGGACCAGCUUAUUAAAAGCAAAAAAAAAUCCAGUGGCAGAGGGGACGUGGGGGACCUGGAUGAGAUCUGUGAAGCCUCGGUGGAUGCUGUGUGGGAUCUAUGAGAACCCCAGGCCCCGAGGAGGUCCGUGGGGGUCCCCGAAGGCAGAGUUGAUGCUGACCUGUAUCCCCAUCUGGACAACGGAUGGCCCUGAUCCUCUCUGCUCAGAAAUGCCCAGUGCGACGGACAGAUGUGUGUGUCCCCACCGCCCCCCCAAGCAGGUCCACAAGGUGAAACCUCACCCCCAGCGGGAUAGUGUGAGAAGGUGGGGCUUUGGGGAGGCAACUGGGGGAUGGGGGCGGAGCCCUCAUGAGUGGGAUCAGUGCCCUGAUGAAAGCGACCCCACGGAGCUCCCUGCGGGCUUGCACCGUAUGAUGACAUCCGGGUCAUCGGCCACUGAAUCGGCUGGCCCCUUGACCUGGGACAUCCCAGUCUCCGGAACUGUGAGAAAUACAUCUGCGUUGUCUCUGAGCCGGUCCUACUGGGGCCUUCUGUCCUAGGAGCCCAAACCCUCCAAGACAUGCAGCGUGACGUGCUCUGGGCCACAUUCUUCAUGCUCGCAACCUCCCGAUGGGGCCCGCGGUGCACAAAGCGGCCCAGUGAGAGAACACACCCGCCUUCCCAGCCCUGGCUUCCAGAUGGUGCCGGCCUGGCCUCCAGGUUUCCACGGUGGGGAAGGGAUGCCCUCCCCACCCUCUGGAGUCCUCGAGACCCGCCGGUUCCAGGCUCUGGCCUGGUGGCGGAGAGGGGAAUGCUUUUUCCCGCCUUCCUCCGGGCUCCGUGACACAGGCACCUGGGUCACAGAUGUGUCCCGCAGGGAGAUAAAGGUGGCGAUGACCUAACCACCCUCACAGCGGGCAGUUCCUUGAAAAGGCGUGAGUCCCCAGCUCUUUCGGAAAGCAGCUCGGCGGAGUGUAUCAGGGGCCUGGAAAGGUGGACGCUUCCCUGUCCAGCGAUCACACUUCUGGGAAUUUGCCCGAAGGAACUAAUCCUACAAAAAAGAGAAAAGAAAGACCACACACCCAGGGAUAUCUACCAAGCUCCCAGCCGCAGUGAAAAAAUAGAUUCUGCAUCGUAACCCAGUAUACGCGGAUGCUGGCGUAUAACUAAAUAGAAAACUUAUGCAAUGCUACUUAUUAUAAGAAAUGCCAUCUGGGGUUGUCUCUUGGAUGCUGUCCUUCCCCGUCCUGUCCUGUCUGUCCUGUCCUAUCUCAUCCCAUCCCGUUCUGUUUAAAAGGCAAGGUGGCUGGUCAUGACCCAGUCAUAUGGCUUCAUGUCCCACCGCUUGGCGUGACCUUCGAGGAAGCAGGUACCAUACAUGUUCCCGUUCGGUGUCCAUUGCCCAGCCCCACCCCACCCCCUCCCUGCUCUACAGCUUGUCUUUCCCCCUGGAGGAUUUCACAGCCCGAUCUCUGUAACUGGACAGACGGGGCUGGGGCCAUUUUGUCCUCCUAAAUGGUGGCAGAGCAGUUUC